rnacentral:rRNA from 1 species
GAUGAACGCUGGCGGCGUGCCUAAUACAUGCCAGUCGAGCGAACGGACGAGAAGCUUGCUUCUCUGAUGUUAGCGGCGGACGGGUGAGUAACACGUGGAUAACCUACCUAUAAGACUGGGAUAACUUCGGGAAACCGGAGCUAAUACCGGAUAAUAUUUUAAACCGCAUGGUUCAAAAGUGAAAGACGGUCUUGCUGUCACUUAUAGAUGGAUCCGCGCUGCAUUAGCUAGUUGGUAAGGUAACGGCUUACCAAGGCAACGAUGCAUAGCCGACCUGAGAGGGUGAUCGGCCACACUGGAACUGAGACACGGUCCAGACUCCUACGGGAGGCAGCAGUAGGGAAUCUUCCGCAAUGGGCGAAAGCCUGACGGAGCAACGCCGCGUGAGUGAUGAAGGUCUUCGGAUCGUAAAACUCUGUUAUUAGGGAAGAACAUAUGUGUAAGUAACUGUGCACAUCUUGACGGUACCUAAUCAGAAAGCCACGGCUAACUACGUG